CCCUUAUGACCUGGGCUACACACGUGCUACAAUGGACGAUACAAACGGUUGCCAACUCGCGAGAGGGAGCUAAUCCGAUAAAGUCGUUCUCAGUUCGGAUUGUAGGCUGCAACUCGCCCUACAUGAAGCCGGAAUCGCUAGUAAUCGCGGAUCAGCAUGCCGCGGUGAAUACGUUCCCGGGCCUUGUACACACCGCCCCGUCACACCACGAGAGUUUGUAACACCCGAAGUCGGUGAGGUAACCUUUUGGAGCCAGCCGCCGAAGGUGGGAUAGAUGAUUGGGGUGAAGUCGUAACAAGGUAGCCGUAUCGGAAGGUGCGGUUGGAUCACCUCC
rnacentral:rRNA from 1 species